UGCGAUCUCCUUUCCUCUCGCCCACAGCGAUCCCGCAAACCUGCAUUUACGUACGCUGUGCCGAACCACUGCUUUAGCACGUUGCUCAUGACCACCGCAGCAGAUUAAUUCCAGCAUCUUCGCUCCCCAUCUUUGGAUUUAACUUAAACUCUGCUGUUAUGCUGGCGGGAUGGCAGUGUUGAUCUACGUAUAACCAUUUCAAGCCUCCACUGAGUUCAUUCUUAGCAUGGAGUCCAGUACUUGUUUAGAGCUUGCGCUUGAGGGUGAACGCUUGUGCAAAGCAGGCGAUUUCCACUCAGGUGUCGAGUAUUUAAGCGCGGCGAUCAACGUAGGCACGGAUGAUUUGCGAGUGCUUAGCGCCGUUUACAGUCAGCUGGGAAAUGCUUCAUUUUACCUUGGAGAUUAUAAUAAGGCUCUGCAGUACCAUCUGCUUGAUCUCAAUACAGCCAAGGCAGCCGGCGACUUAUUGGGGGAGGCAAAGGCGAGUGGAAACUUGGGCAACACGCUCAAAAUGAUGGGCAAGUUCGAUGAUGCAGUCACAAAUUGCGAAAGGCACCUAAGCAUAUCCAGGGAAAAAGGCGACAAAAUAGGAGAAGCACGUGCCCUUUACAACUUGGGCAAUGUGUACCAUGCUAAAGGGAAGCACAUAGCCCGUGCCAGUCGGCAGGAACCUGGGGAGCUGCCAUCUGAUGUUCAGGACUGCCUGCGGAGGGCCAUCCACUGCUAUGAGGAGAACCUCAAGUUAAUGGUGGCUCUUGGUGACCGAUCAGCUCAAGGACGAGCGUACGGCAACUUGGGAAAUACAUACUACCUGCUUGGCAACUUCAAGAAGGCCAUUGCCUACCAUGAGCAGAGGCUGAAAUUGGCCAAGGAGUUUGGGGACAAGGCAGCUCAAAGGAGGGCAAACAGCAACCUUGGUAACGCCCACAUUUUCCUGGGAGAGUUUGGUGUUGCGGCAGAGCACUACACGAAGACUUACCAUUUGGCCAAAGAACUUGGAGAUAGGGCAGUUGAGGCCCAAGCCUGUUACAGCUUGGGAAACACAUACACCUUACUACGAGACUUUGAGCGGGCCAUAGAAUUUCAUUUAAGGCACCUCCAAAUUGCUGAAGAACUCAGGGACAAAGUUGGUGAAGGGCGUGCAUAUUGGAGUUUAUGCAAUGCACAUUGCUCCCUGGGUGACCACAAAGAGGCUCUCCACUAUGCCACCCGGCACCUGCGUGUUUCCCAGGAGCUUGGAGACAAAGUAGGCCAAGCAACAGCACAGAUGAGCAUUGCAGACCUGAAGCAAGUUCUUGAAGGUGAUGCAAGCGACGCUAAGAAAGGUGCCAUGGAUGAUCUGAGCACACCACAAGCCUCUUCUAAUGCCGAGAAUGCGAAACCAACGAAGCAAGAAACACCCACUGAUGCUCAAAAGCAGCAACGGUCUGGCAGUGACAUGGAUCAGGAUGCCUUCUUUGAGCUGCUAAGCGAGUUCCAGAGCAAGCGUAUGGAUGAUCAGCGCUGUUCUAUCACACCGCUGGAGAAUAAGGAGAAUGUAUUGCCCAAUGGAUCACCUCCAUAUCCCAGCCCAACAAGUUCAGGCCCAGAGGACAGUGCUAGUGUUCGGGAGGAACUGCUUGACCUGAUAGUAGGCAUGCAGAGCCGCCGCAUGGAUGAACAACGCACCAGCCUUCCACAGCUGCCAGGUCUGCGCCGCAACAACCACAACAAUAAUAGCCUGCAUCACCAUCACCGCAUGUCUGUUGGAUCGGUGCUUGAGGAUGACUUCUUUGACAUGAUUGUACGGUGCCAGGGUAGCCGGCUGGAGGACCAGCGCAGCAGCAUGCCCACUCUGCAGCGUGCCCCAAGCGCUCCUGUGGUGCCCAGCUCACGAUCGGCACCAACAGUGCCCGACGAGGACUUUUACUCGCUCAUCCUGCGUGUGCAGGCAGGCCGCAUAGAGGACCAGCGCACCUCCUUCCGGCCCCCCGAUGCCGCCCCAACCACUUCGUCUGCCCCCGUCCGGGCCAGCCUCAAGGGUAGUCUCAAGUCGGCCCUACGGGGAAGCCGCCACUCCAAGUCCAAGCAGUGAAGGCAGUACAUGUUGCUUGCCAGAGGGUCUUGCUCACAAGAAGCACGAUUUGUGUGCUCUAGAGUAGCCACACAGGUGAGGCCUCUAAUGAAUUCCUGACAGAUUCUUAAUCAUGUCCACAUAAAUGUAAACCAACAGAAGGCAGUUGUGGUCAAAUGACUUGGCAAGGAGAAAUCGUAAUGUUGGUGCCACCAAAGACCCCUAGUUUAGUUUGACUCAGUUUCAACUGUCCAUACAUAUAACUCAUUUCAUUUUAUUGCAUCUUGUGCAUAGCAUAUGAGAUGUAUUGAUGACAUAGCGCAGUGCAGCAGUCAUUGUAGUUUUAAUUUUAUAAUGUUUCACUGCACUGUGUCACAAGAUUAAUGCAGCUUUAUUUUAUGCCGAUACUUUCUGCCAUUUUUGUUUGUAUGCAGUGGUAGUCCAACAGCGCAUUGGCACAUUUUGCCGACUGAUUUGUGCUUUCUUACAUGAACUUGCAUGCUCUAGGGGAUGUGAAUGAAGUUACAUUGUUCAACAGCACUACAAUAAUGAGAUCUGCAGCAUUUGUACAUAUGUAGUUUCCUUGCAAAAGCAACCUUGGUUGGCAUAUGGUAAAGACGUUACUUGAAUUAUUGACAGCUGUUUGUGGUCAUGCAGAAUUUAUGUAGCCUGGUUGUUUUGAUUCAGUGGAUAUACUCGUAGAAAAAAUUCAGGCACAGUCAGUGACGUCCUUAAGAGAAAAACUUGCCUGCAGUGAUAUCAUGCUGAUGUUUGCAGUAUGGCUGAUGUUACUGACAUCUUUAUAAAAAAAUACCACUUCUGUGUGGCAGCCAGCAUGGAAAAAUUCAGCAUUUUCGUAGUAGUUCGUGGGAAGAUAUAGAUAAAUUUUGCUAUGUUUGGGCAUAGCUUUGUGGCAUACACCUGUCGUAUUAUUCAUAUUAGAAGAUGACACUUUGUUUAAAAAAAAACAUUUCAGUCAUUAACCAUGUUUAGACAUAUGUUUUGUAAUGCUCAUAAAUAAUGUUAAGUUAGAUAGAAUUUUUAUCUCCCUUUGUGACAACAUUUCCUCAACAAUAUUAAUUUAAGAUGAAAGUGGCAUCAACAGCCAUUUCUACUGAAAAAUUGCUUGAAUAUGUUAAUUUCCUUGCACAAGUGACCUCCUUCUGAGCAGCAAGUUCAAUUAAUUUGUCAUUCCACAACCUUUAGUGCUGUUAAAAAAAAUUAAACAGCAUCAAGUUUAUCUGAAGCCAUAGCUUCAUUUCACACAAGAAAAUAGGAUUGAUAUGUAAAGAUUUUCAAGCAGGCAUCUCCACACAACACCACUAUGAAAAUGUGUGUGCUUGUGCUCAAAGCAUGUGCAGGGCAAAGAAUGUGUUAACAUUUUCCUGCUGCAUUUUGUGAGCCCUAGCUAUGAGCUGUGAGCCCUUCCUUGAGCUCGAGAUCCUCAUCUUAGUAUGGUAUUUGAAUUGUGUGUAGAAACCAGCUUGUGAACUCUGCAUAUUAUCGACUGGGCAGUCUAAAAUGAGCUCUAAUUGCUAUUUGCUAAGAGUAAUUAUAGCAUCACCAGUUUACAUUCAUAGUACCAGUUGGAGUCACGUCAAGUGUGAGGAUUCAUCAGUGGCAUCACAGGUUGAUGCUAUGACAGUAUGGAUUAUGGUUGCAAGUGAAUGCUGGCAAAGUGUUGUAUUUAGUUUUUUAUUUGUGAAACAUAAAAGUGCUGCACAUUAAUGAUGCUUCAAAUAUCAUAUCUUUGUAUGUAUAUCUAUCAGUUCUCCAUGUCUUUGUGAAAUGGUAUGACACUUUCCUUUUUGUUUAUUUUUCGAGUGGAGCAAAAUGUGUUCUCCUGGAUUUUCUUCUCAACUGAAAGUAAUUAUAGCACCAGUUUAUUUACAUAGACAAUGAAAUAGCUGUUUUAGUAAGCUGUAUGAUGUAUGUAAAUUAUAUUUAUUUGUGCAUUACUAUUUGGUUUUCUUUACAUGCAGCAUAUUAGUCUCCAAAUUGAUUAUCAAAGUACCUCAUUGAAAUUAAGGGCUCUGAGUGCUAUAUUUAGUUCCCAGUACUAGAUUUACUGCUACGUUAGUGAUAUACUGAUGUGGUGACAUCGCCUGUGUGUAAUGUAAUAAACCAUGUGAGCCUGAGUGCUCUAGCCAAUGCCACAUGGUGAUUUUGAAUUCUUGUAGCUUUGUAUGUCACUGUGAAACAACUUUCUAUUGCUACAGCUACAUGGAAUGGCUAAAUAUAAAGCAUUUAUUUAUGUUUUGAUGUCUUUUCUUCUGUGUUACUGCUAAAUUUCUUGUACAACCUUUGCCACAAGUUUGCAGGCCACAGUGCAUGUGACGAGAACCCUCAUCAGGGCAUGUAAUGGGGUGCCUGUGGUGCUUUUGGGGUGUAGGGAGUAAAGAUAGUUCAUAACUCUAGAGCUUCGGGGUGCUGUGAAUGCUACAAGAGCCCCACUAUGUAGCCCAAAAACUGCUAGAGUCAUGUGAUUUGUGGCCUGUUUUGCUUUUGACAAAGAUUUCUGCUUAAAUAGCAAACGUUUUGGCCUGUACUCGUCUUUCUGAUUGUGCUCAAUGCACGUAGUCUCUCUUUAUUUUAAUUUGUUGCACAUCUGGCUGUGGUAGGAAUGCAAUGGGUAGUUGGCUAAGGACUUCAGAUGCUUGACCAAUGGAGCUGACCAAAACUCGUUUCAGGUAAAUGCACUUUUUCCUGACAUCCUCUAUAAUGCACAGAAAAUGAGUGAGACCAAUGCCACAGCCUAGUAGCACAGUUAUCACAUUGCUAUGAAGCAUUGGCAAUAUAUAUUUGUGAUUUUUCCUAGAGGUUCGCACAUCUUUUGAGUGAUGAAAGUGAGGAAUUUCCCCUACUCGUGUAAUGCUGGUGUGCUAGUUAAGGUGUGACCUUGUGUGUAGUAUCUUGCACAAAAGUAAAACUUAUUCGAGCACCAACAAUCUUGUAUGUAGCAAAUUUCCUCUGGAGACAACAUUCCAUUUUCAAGCUGCUGUGUCUAAAUAGUGGCGGUACACCUGGCAUCUUAGAGUUGAACAGUGCGGCUGAACAGGUAGUGCAUAAACUUUCCAAUACUUCCUUAUUUGGGUCCAGAGUAGUAUUUGACCAAUACUUUCUGGUUAGGAAUAUGGCUUUUUCUAUACUUUCUGUUUAGGAAUAUGUCUUGUUCUAUGUGUAUUCGCAUUCUUUCAUAGGCUCAAAUGCAUAGCAAGUAGUAAGAGGAACAAGAGGCUGUACCAUACAAUCUGCAGGUACUCCUUCACUUGGUUGCUCUCUUCUUAACAAGCAUGUUUUUAUUUGUGAGAGAUUCUGGCCCUUUCUUGGUAAAUUUAGCUUCAUAUCUGUCAUGUUGUAGCUAGGGAAGCAGACAUGUUGGACACUUCUUUGUUUACAUGGGAUAUGUAGUCAGCAUGUCUUCAUCUUCAUACAUAGUCUCUUGAGCUGAGGUAUUAAUUCUGUGAUCUAAGGUUAGCAGAAUUGCAGCGUGAUAAAGGAGGGAAACAGGACUUCUGUUGAGGUGCCAAAUGCCAACAGUGGUGUCAUAGCCUUACACACCUACUUAAAUUUGCCCAUUAGUUCUUAAAUUUCGCUGCAGUUUUAACCUGGUAUGAGAAAGACCUGAAAGAAGCCUGAUUAGAUUGCUGUGGCAAUACCUUUAUGCCCCUUUUCAUUGACUUUGCUCAUGAUCUCAUCACUGUAUGACCUGAAAAGCAUCUGCAGUUAGUUUUAUUCAUUGUAUGGAUUUUUUUUCUGUCACAUAGAAAAUGAUGUUGCUAUUAAGCAGAUUUAUUUUUUUUUUUGUAAGACUAAAAUCUACAGGGUGAAAAUCCUAUAUAAUUCAGUCUAUAUGCGCUUAUUCUGCAGUAGUUUCUAAAAGAUGAAAAAAAAAAUUUUUUUCUGGAACUAUUUCUGCCUGUUGGUGGUACAGCGAUAGUGUGUUCAUUAAAUUACAAUGAUAUGGUAUACAAGCCUAGCAAAGCCUCAUUAAUAAUGCCGACUAUUGUGUUAUUGGUCACUGCUGCUACCGUACCAAGUGGCGAGUCAAUGCUUCAUACAAUGGUGUAACAUAUAAAAAGUACCAUCAGAGCAUAUCUAUUAUGCUGUUGUGGAGGAGGGUACGUUCUUCUUUUCCAUUAAUCCAGAAACUAUGUAAGCCUCCUCUUGAAGCUUUAUAGAUUAUCUGUCUGGAAGUCUGAUUAUUUGUUAUGUGCCAAUAUAAUGCUUUGUUGCCAAGGUUCUUGCGGCUGCUCAUUUUUAACCACACAUGCCAAAGCUGCCAAGUUGAUGAGAACUUCAUGUAACCUCCCCCAGUGUUGCUUUCUGUGAAUCUGCCAGUACUAACGUCACAUGACAGGUAGCGUAGUCCACAUUAGGUGGUGCCACUCUGAUUUUUCAUGUCAUAGUUUUUGCUAUGAGUGACAAAUUUAUUACAAAAGCUUAAGUCUUCAUUGUCCUUUUUAAUGCCAAAUUUAGAACAAUACAAGCAAAAAGAGUCACCUAGUGGACAAGCACGCAUCUUUCUAACUGAAUCUCAGAUGAGCCUUUUUGGUGAAAAUCUAGGAAUCCCACUGGAUAUUGGUGGCAGCUAAAAUAAUUUUUUCCUAAAAUUUAUUUCAUCAGGGAAGAAAACAAUUGGUGAACAUAUUGUUUACACUGUUGUGCUGUUCUUAGAAAACAAAGCAUUACGUUUUGGCGUGAAAAAAGGAAUGCAAAAUAAGAAGUUUAUUUUCAUCUUUCAGCCAAAGUAAUGGUGAAUAGGCUAUUGGAGCCCAGUUGUAAAAGCACCUGUGUCAGCACAUAUUUAUUAGUGUGAGCACUUGUGAAAAGCUAAUGGCAUUGAGUCCCUUAAUGACAGAUAAUCUUCUCGUGACAGUAAGUCCACAUUAUUGUCAGCUUCAGCGCAUUCAAGAGUUAAUGGAGUUGCAGAAGUGUGUAGAGUCAUGUUUGAAAUAACUUGCGUGAUUUCUCUUCACAUGGUACACAUACUGAAACCACUUGCAUUCAUUUGCCAUCACCUGCUGUGGUAGCUUAGAAGGUAAGGUGUCGCGCUGCUAUGCUCAAGGAUGAGAGUUCAAUCCCCGGCCAUGGCAGUCACAUUUUUAUUAGGGCAGGAUACUAGAACAACUGUGUAGUUAGGUUUAGGUGCAAGUUAAAAAACCCCAAGGUGCUCGAAAUUAAUCUGGAGUCGCCCACCAUUGCAAUCAUAUUGUUAUGGCUUGUAAAACACUAGAAAUUCAUUGAUUCACUUGCCAUCACCUUUCUGUAGUUAAUCUGACAUUUCAUUAAAUUUUUCUCAUUCAAUUUAGAUUUGAAGGUUUGGAAUCGGUGCUGCUCAUUGGGUGAGGUUUUAAGUGUCAUAACCAUGAGUUUAUCAUGAGGCACGCCAUAGGGCAGAAUUUGGAUUAAUUUUGGCCCCCUGGGUUUCUUUAAUGCACACUUAAAUAUAAGUACAUGUGUGUUCUUGAAUUUGGCUCCAUUGAAAUAUGGUUGCCAUAGUAGGGAAUCGGUUGAGUCCUCAAGCUUAGCAGGUGACACCUUACUGCUAAGCCGUUGCAGCGUGUCGCCACUUAUUGGUUUGGCACUGUUUCAAUGUGCAGUAUGUCUAGUUAUGAAGCCUUUGACAAAGGCAGCAACUUCAAAGGAACAAAUGUCAUGUUUCCCAGCCUGCAACUUAUUUUAAUGUCUUAACCUUUUUUUUAAAGCAUUUGUUUGCUUCCUUGUGUUUUAGAUUGUAUUGGCACAGGGCCAUGUUUGUUUUUCUCCCUUGAUGCCAUGACACCAUGUGAAAGGUUUUGCUUCACGGUGAUGAUCAUUGUGCAGUGUGUUAAUGUUGGCAUUUGUGCUUUGUGGACAUUGAAAGCGAAAUCCAAACCCUCAACUACUGCAUAGAACCAGCAAAAGAGAAAUGUGCUUUGCAGCUUGUGGAAUGGAGAUUGUGUUGUGCUGGUGAUGUGCAGGCCUCCAAUAGAGCGUCUGGCUUGUAGUUCUGAGCCCUAGGGCAGAAUCGCCUGCCUUAUCAAGUCUUUGAGGCAGCCUUGCCAGGCAUGCUUCAGCAGGUACCUGAACUGCUUGUCUUUUAUGGUUUGUAAAGCGUCCCUUUGAGAAGGCUUUUUCGUCUGGCACAUUUCUCUCGUCUCUUGGUGAUGUAAGACGCCUGCUGCAUGAUAAUGUGCAUACAUGCCAGCCAUCCGUGUUUUCCGCAAGUUAAGACCUCAAAGGUGUGGCUAUCUGUCCGUCAGUGUACUUAAAUGUCUUGUGAACACUAUUAUGAAUAUGGAAGGUCAGGGUGGGUGUUGUCAAAUUUGCAUUUAUGAAGCGCACACACAACACACAGGUGCACAUGUAGUUCGCAGUGCUGAAUGAAGUAGCUGUCACUGGAAAAUUCUGCACACCUCUAAGGCCACUGCAAACAAGCCAAGGAUAGUUUUGGUACCAGGGAGUGACCAACACCAUUGCAAUUAGUAUAUGAUGUCAACAUAGUCAUGAAAAUUAGACUGAAGCUGUGCUUUAAAUAAUAAGCUUAAAUUCAUUUGGAGUGUGUCAGUAUUUUUUUUUUGAAGAUUCAGUGCUAUGACAUGCCUGAUGGAGUUCAUAAACCUCAUAUAAUGAUUUUUUAAUAGGUAGAUGAAUAGACCACACUUUGGAAAUUUGGAGCAUGUCAGUAAGCCUUUAUUUGCAUUGACCUUUGUCCUUUGUACAGGCAAGAGAAAAAGAAAAUUAAAUAGAACAUUUUACAGCGUAAAAUCGUAAGCCUGCUUUUUAGAUGAACUUGUUUUAUGUUCCGUUAGCUUAUGGCUGUGCAGCUAACAAAUGUUGCUGCUCCAUUUCUUCACAGUACAAGGUAAAUUAUGUUGUGAUGAAACAGGACAUUACUCCCUUAUAUUCAUAUAUAUCUCUAUUUUUUUUUUUUUGCAUGCUAAUUUGACGCGCUUUACAAUUUUCUUGAGAAAUGGCACCACACAAAGUAGUAAUGUUAGAAGAAAAAGAUGUACAGACACAAACACAAGUGAAGGGAAACAAACGUUCAACUUGUCCAUUUGUGACCAUCUCUGCAUGCCUGACGUUUUUUCUAACAUCAAUUCCUACCAACCAGUUGAACUUUCUGUCAUUCUGGGAAUAGUGUCCUUGUGUUCAGGUCUUAAUUUCAUAUUUUCUUUUGCCCACCAUAGGCUUUGAGCACUGCAAUUACUUGCUGAUCACCUACUGUGACUAAAGUAUAACUGCAGGGAGUAAAAUAUAACAAAAAAACUGUUGUAAUAUGUCUGCAUAACUUUGUUCUUAUGUUUGUAAGGUAAAAUGAGGGCUUUGAAACAUAUUUGCAUUACCAAUCAAUACUAGGUAACCUCAGUAUAAAGACAUAUAUUCUGCAAGUGUGCCAGCUCUGACUGCAUCAGAUGGUUCAACUUGAAGUGCAUUUAAUUAUACUUCUGAAGGUGCUUACUGCUGCACCAAAUUAAGACAGCCAGCAAGUUAGGCUACAUUGUUUCAUAGAGGUCUAGUGCUAAUUAAAGUUGAAGUGAGUUUGGAGAUUAAGUAAAGCCCAAGUCUCCUAGAUUAUUGGUAGCAGACAAUUCUGUUGCAACUAGAGUGACAAUCUCUUAGUUCCAAGAAACUUCCUUGUAAAGUCUUCAGUCAGCUGGGCACUUGGAUACAUCCAAAUGCUUCCAGAUUCUUGUUGACUUGCUAUGCAAGGCUGUUCUACGACCACUUGGGUGUGGUUGCUUAGCAUGCUUUAUAUACUAGGAAAUUUUCAAGCAUAUACAUUAGCUUGUUUUAUGGCAAGACAUCAAGAAGGAAAACAUUUAGCAAAUUAAGAACAUGUGGUUUUGGGAGAGCAGCUGAGGAUUGAACAGAUGUUGCAGCUAUGGCCAAGAGUUGAUGCAAGGUUGCUUCAGCCUAAUGGAGGCUCUGCAUCAGACCAAUGCAUUGUCAUGUCAGGGCACUCUGUAUUGGCCAUUGUGCAUCCUUGUGUGUAUGUGUGUGUGUGUAUAUAAUAUAUACCUAAAUAUAUGCGUGUGUACGUAUCAGCCUGGGAGGCAUUCAUGUCCUAAUGUCCCUGUAUGUUGUCAUAGCCAUGAAUUAUGUUUAUUAAAAAAUUCACUUAGUGUCCAUCUCGUACAGGCGUCUCGUAUAUACAUUUUAAAUAUAUAAAGAUAUAACCCAGCCGCAUAUAGGAGCUCAGUAAAAUUGUUCAUGCUUCAUAUAAAGUAUAUUUUUUAGAAGAAGAAGCAAGCCAAAACUUUACUAGUGGUCAUCUUUUCAUGCAGCCAAACUAGUGCAGGCUGCAUCCGUUUAGCGUUUACUGCUUGUUACGCAGUUGUUGCAUGAAGUGAACAGUUCAUGUUAGAACAAAUGUUAUUUCUUCGUGUUCAAUAUAGCACCUGCCAGUGAACAAGAUGGACUGUUUUUUUUUUCUUUUUCUUUGGAUUGGAAAAGAGAGUAAUUGUUGUAACAGUGUUGAUUGUUCACUCUCUGUAAUCAUGUUGAGAAAGCCUGCUAUGCUGAAUGAGACUGUUGGUUCCUCUGCAAGCAAAUGUCAUUUUCAAGAACUUCAACCUACUGCAUUGUGUGAACUUUCAUCCAAGAAAAUGCAUUUGUCAGAUGCCCGUGUGUGCAAAUGUUUGCACAAUAGCUGUUGUUGCGACCGUCAGCAGUUCCCAGUGAUAACAUGAAACAAUACUGUCUACUUGGAAACUGUCAGUAAACUGUAGACACUAUGUUGUCAGCUGGUGAGGGAGCUGCCAUUAUCCCAAACUGAAAUUCUUCCAAGCUACUACAGUGUGAACAAUGUGAGUACCUGUAUUCAACUGCCUUCAUUAUUUCUAGUGUUGACUAGGCAUUGCAACAGUACUUCAGAAAUGAACUGUAAGCUGCCCAUACACAUAUGGAAAUAAACUAUAUAAAAGUAUGA
rnacentral:misc_RNA from 1 species